rnacentral:tRNA from 1 species
GAGACGCUUCACUGAACUGCUAAAUCAAUCCACCGGACCUAAACGUCCGGCUUCUC